rnacentral:tRNA from 1 species
GUCUCGGAUAGCUUAACUGGUAGAGUCCUUGGCGCGUAACCGAGAGAUCUGAGUUCGAUUCCCAGUCUGGGCU